AGUAGUUGAUCCGUGGCUCGAGACGACGCUGGCGGCGUGCUUCAUACAUGCAAGUCGAACGUGAAGCUGAAGCUUGCUUCAGUGGAAAGUGGCGGACGGGUGAGUAACACGUAGGAAACCUGCCUUUUAGUGGGGGACAACAGAGGGAAACUUCUGCUAAUACCCCAUAUGAGCGUAGCUGAAAUGCUAUUCUUGAAAACUCCGGUGCUAAAGAUGGGCCUGCGUCUGAUUAGCUUGUUGGUGGUGUAAUGGACCACCAAGGCGACGAUCAGUAGCUGGUUUGAGAGGAUGAUCAGCCACAAUGGGACUGAGACACGGCCCAUACUCC
rnacentral:rRNA from 1 species